GCAAAAAGACAAGAAAGAAAAGAUGCAAGCUCCAACUGAACAUCCCUCCCUGUUCUGAAACUGGUCACCCAGAUGCAUAAAAGUGUUGCUACAGAAUAUUAAGGGCAAAAAGGAAGAGAAGAGCAAACCGACCUCAGAAACGGCCAACAGGAUAAAAUUCUAAGGAACAAGAUAGAAAUGAAUGAACCUCAGACUAACUAAUGAGGACCACAAGGUGUCUGGCUGGAGGAAUACCAGAAGCCACUGUGGAUGGAGCAGAUGAUCAGACUCUUGGCUUUGAAGACAAAUGACUUGAUGUGGACAAUAUCAAGAGUGCCAAAGAGGGCACAGACUGUGAAUGUGGGGAUGAGCAAUGUCGGAAUUGUCUGUUUAAGAAAACACUAGCCAGGGUCUAAGAGAAGCUCAGUUGGUAAAGCGUAAGUUUUCUUGGAAGUGUGAGAACCUGGCGUUGAGCUCCAGUACAAGGUAAAUGGCCUAGCAUGAUGGUACACAUCUAUAAUCCUAGCACACCGUCCUCAUCAUACCCAAGCAAUGUGCUCUGGGCUCAGGGAGAAAUCCCAUGCCCCAAACUUAGAUAAGUGAAAGUAGAAAUGGUUAUAUAGAACAAAGUAGCCCAGCGCCAGAAAGAUAAACACCGGAUUCCCCUGUCCUGCGUGAACCCAGUUCUGCUUCUUUAGAUCUCUGUCUGCUUAACAGAGAAUACCCGCAGAGGCCAGGAACCUAGAAAAGCUCCAUGGCGGGGGAAGCUAGAAGAAAAGAAGCAAAUACUAAAAGGAGGAAGAGAAUAAGGAGCAGAUAGGUUCAAAUGGAUGGGGAAUAGAAGGGUAGUGUAGAGGAGGGAUUGGAAGGAAUGAACAAUAUAAGGGAUGUAUGAAAAGGCCAUGUAGACACCUACUAUUGUAUAAGUGUGUCACAUGUAUGUAUAUGUACACAUGUAUCUUAGACUAUUAUCUAUAUGUAGUAUAGACUAUUGUGUAAGCUUCAUAAUAUUAUACACACAUAUGUAUGUUUAUAUAUACACAUACAUACAUAGAGAGAGGGUGGAGGAGAGUUAAAGUGAGGUUACCAUACAUGGGAGCUAAUGUUUCUCUCAGAAGCCACAGUUCACCAAGCUGAAAGCCCAAUGACAGAUGUGGAAUACAUCUUUUCAAGUUGGUGGUCAGGGGUCCGCCCCACCCCAAACAAUACAAGAUUUUGGAACCUCAUAUGGGAACCUCAUGUAGGGUGCUGGGGGAAAGAAGUCACCAAAAGGCUUACCUGGGUGUGGACCCUAUGAACUACAGUAAUGACUGGCCUGGCAAGAUGUGCCCAUGGGAGCAAUUGCCAUGCUCCAGUGGAUGGAUUCACACAUGAGCACACUUUAACACCAUAACACCAACUUGGGACUUAGAUAGAUAGAUGAUUGAUUGAUAGAUAGAUAGAUAGAUAGAUAGAUAGAUUAAUAAAUAGUAGGACAUGAAGUUGAGAGUGGGAUGGGGUCUGGGAAGAGUUAGAAGGCAGUAAACAGUAAAGUAGGGUAUAUGAUCCAAAAUGCACUGUUUUUAUUUUUGUAAAAUUCUUUUUUUUAAUUUUUUUCUCUUAUUUUUUUUAUUACAUAUUUUCCUCAAUUGCAUUUCCAAUGCUAUCCCAAAAGCCUCUCACACACUCCCCCCCACUCCUCUACCCACCCAUUCCCAUUUUUUGGCCCUGGCGUUCCCCUGUACUGGGGCAUAUAAAGUUUGCCUGUCCAGUGGGCCUCUCUUUCCAGUGAUGGCCGACUAGGCCAUCUUUUGAUACAUAUGCAGCUAGAGUCAAGAGCUCCGGGGUACUGAUUAGUUCAUAAUGUUGCACCUACAGGGUUGCAGAUCUCUUUAGCUCCUCCAUUGGGGGCCCUGUGAUCCAUCCAAUAGUUGACUGUGAGCAUCCACUUCUGUGUUUGUUAGGACCCGGCCUAGUCUCACAAGAGACGGCUAUAUUACGGUCCUUGCACCAAAUGCUUGCUAGUGUAUGCAAUGGUGUCAUCAUUUGGAGGCUAAUUAUGGGAUGGAUCCCUGGAUAUGGCAGUCUCUUGAUGGUCCAUCCUUUUGUCUCAGCUCCAAACUUUGUCUCUGUAACUCCUUCCAUGGGUGAUUGUUUCCAAUUCUAAGAAGGGACAAAGUGUCCACACUUUGGUCUUCGUUAUUCUUCAGUUUCAUGUGUUUUGCAAAUUGUACCUUAUAUCUCACUAUAUUAAGUUUCUGGGCUAAUAUCCACUUAUCAGUGAGUACAUAUUAUUUGAGUUCUUUUGUGAUUGUGUUACCUCACUCAGGGUGAUGCAAAAUUCUUAAAGAAUAAACUAAGGUGGACAGUGAGGAAGACACACAAUGUCUUUGGCUUCUAUGUAUAGGCACACACGUGUGUAACAGCAUAUGUGUGUGCACACACAUAGUCAUGCUUUCUUUUCAUGUGUCAGCCAGUGUAGAAAAAAAAAAAAACGACUCAGAAAGCGAAGCAAUCUAUUUCCAACCAUUCCCAU